rnacentral:rRNA from 1 species
GAUGAACGCUGGCGGCGUGCCUAAUACAUGCAAGUCGAGCGAACAGACGAGGAGCUUGCUCCUCUGACGUUAGCGGCGGACGGGUGAGUAACACGUGGAUAACCUACCUAUAAGACUGGGAUAACUUCGGGAAACCGGAUCUAAUACCGGAUAAUAUAUUGAACCGCAUGGUUCAAUAGUUAAAUACGGUUUUGCUUUCACUUAUAGAUUGAUCCGCGCCGCAUUAGUUAGUUGGUAAGGUAACGGCUUACCAAGGCAACGAUGCGUAGCCGACCUGAGAGGGUGAACGGCUACCCUGGAACUGAGAAACGGUCCAGACUCCUACGGGAGGAAGCAGUAGGGACUCCUACGCAAUGGGCGAAAGCCUGACGGAGCAACGCCGCGUGAGUGAUGAAGGUCUUCGGAUCGUAAAACUCUGUUAUUAGGGAAGAACAAAUGUGUAAGUACCUAUGAACGUCUUGACGGUACCUAAUCAGAAAGCCACGGCUAACUACGUG